rnacentral:rRNA from 1 species
GUCUACGGCUAUACCACCCUGAACGCACCCGAUCUCGUCUGAUCUCGGAAGCUAAGCAGGGUACUUGGAUUGGAGAUUAAGCCCUGUGUGGGGCUCUGAGGUUAGAGGGGAAUCUGCUGAAGAUU